rnacentral:rRNA from 1 species
CCUACGGGCGGCAGCAGUGAGGAAUAUUGGUCAAUGGGCGCGAGCCUGAACCAGCCAAGUAGCGUGAAGGAAGACUGCCCUAUGGGUUGUAAACUUCUUUUAUAAAGGAGUAAAGUCAGGCACGUGUGCCUUUCUGUAUGUACUUUACGAAUAAGGAUCGGCUAACUCCGUGCCAGCAGCCGCGGUAAUACGGAGGAUCCGAGCGUUAUCCGGAUUUAUUGGGUUUAAAGGGAGCGUAGGUGGGUUGUUAAGUUAGUUGUGAAAGUUUGCGGCUCAACCUUAAAAUUGCAAUUGAUACUGGCCGUCUUGAGUACAGUUGAGGUAGGCGGAAUGCGUGGUGUAGCGGUGAAAUGCUUAGAUAUCACGAAGAACUCCGAUUGCGAAGGCAGCUUACUAAGCUGCCACUGACAUUGAUGCACGAAAGUGUGGGUAUCAAACAGGAUUAGAUACCCGAGUAGUC